rnacentral:rRNA from 1 species
UACGUAGGGGGCUAGCGUUAUCCGGAAUUACUGGGCGUAAAGCGUGCGCAGGCGGUGAUGUAAGACAGUUGUGAAAUCCCCGGGCUCAACCUGGGAACUGCAUCUGUGACUGCAUUGCUGGAGUGCGGCAGAGGGGGAUGGAAUUCCGCGUGUAGCAGUGAAAUGCGUUGAUAUCAUUAGGAACACCGGUGGCGAAGGCGGCUUACUGGGUCUUUUCUGACGCUGAGGCACGAAAGCCAGGGGAGCGAACGGG